GCCUCAGUGGCCUAAUGGACAAGGCACUGGCCGGCUAAGUUGGGGAUUGUGGGUUCAAGUCCUGUCUGUGAUG
rnacentral:tRNA from 1 species